rnacentral:rRNA from 1 species
AUUGAACGCUGGCGGCGUGCUUAACACAUGCAAGUCGAUCGGUAACAGGUGUAGCAAUACAUGCUGACGAGAGGCGGACGGGUGAGUAAUGCUUGGGAAUCUGCCUAUUAGUGGGGGACAACCCGGGGAAACUCGGGCUAAUACCGCAUACGCUCUACGGAGGAAAGCCGGGGACCGCAAGGCCUGGCGCUAAUAGAUGAGCCCAAGUCGGAUUAGCUAGUUGGUAGGGAACGGCCUACCAAGGCGACAAUCCGUAGCUGGUCUGAGAGGACGACCAGCCACACCGGAACUGAGACACGGUCCGGACUCCUACGGGAGGCAGCAGUGGGGAAUAUUGGACAAUGGGCGCAAGCCUGAUCCAGCGAUGCCGCGUGUGUGAAGAAGGCCUGCGGGUUGUAAAGCACUUUCAGUAGGAAGAAAAGCCGAGUGCUAAUAUCACUCGGUCUUG